UGAGGAAUUUUGGUCAAUGGGGGCAACCCUGAACCAGCGACGCCGCGUGCAGGAUGACGGCCCUUUGGGUUGUAAACUGCUUUCGGACAAGAGGAAAAGCCGGGUCGCCCGGCUGGGACAGUAUUGUAAUAAGAAGCACCGGCUAACUACGUGCCAGCAGCCGCGGUAAUACGUAGGGUGCAAGCGUUAUCCGGAAUCACUGGGUGUAAAGGGAGUGUAGGCUGGCACUUGCGUCAUAGGUUAAAUCUCCGAGCUUAACUCGGAAGCUGCCUUUGAUACGGGGUGUCUUGAGUAUGAGAGAGGAUGAUGGAAUUCCUGGUGUAGCAGUGAAAUGCGUAGAUAUCAGGAGGAACACCGGUGGCGAAGGCGGUCAUCUGGCUCAUAACUGACGCUGAGGCUC
rnacentral:rRNA from 1 species